rnacentral:rRNA from 1 species
UACCUACGGGAGGCAGCAGUCGGGAAUAUUGCGCAAUGGAGGAAACUCUGACGCAGUGACGCCGCGUGCAGGAAGAAGGUUUUCGGAUUGUAAACUGCUUUAGACAGGGAAGAUAAUGACAGUACCUGUAGAAUAAGCUCCGGCUAACUACGUGCCAGCAGCCGCGGUAAUACGUAGGGAGCAAGCGUUAUCCGGAUUUAUUGGGUGUAAAGGGCGUGUAGGCGGGCCUGUAAGUCAGAAGUGAAAUCUGGGGGCUUAACCCCCAAACUGCUUUUGAAACUGCGGGUCUUGAGUGAUGGAGAGGC